UGGGGCGUCGCCAAGCGGUAAGGCAACGGCCUUUGGAGCCGUUAUCCCUAGGUUCGAAUCCUAGCGCCCCAG
rnacentral:tRNA from 1 species